rnacentral:rRNA from 1 species
GGGGUGCUCGAGUGGCGAACGGGUGAGUAACACGUGAGUAACCUGCCCUUGACUUUGGGAUAACUUCAGGAAACUGGGGCUAACACCGGAUAGGAGCUCCUGCUGCAUGGUGGGGGUUGGAAAGUUUCGGCGGUUGGGGAUGGACUCGCGGCUUAUCAGCUUGUUGGUGGGGUAGUGGCUUACCAAGGCUUUGACGGGUAGCCGGCCUGAGAGGGUGACCGGCCACAUUGGGACUGAGAUACGGCCCAG